UCCUUCCUUCCUUCCUUCCUUCCUUCCUUCCUCCCUCUCUAUCCUUCUCCUUCCCUCUCUCUCUUUUCUCUCUCUCUCUCUCUUUCUCUCUCUCUCUCUCUUGCUCGCUCGCUUCGCUGUCUAAAGAGAGCCCGUUUCCUUUGCAGUCUGCAGUCCUGGCUGCUCGCGGCGGCUGGUGGCGGCGGCGGCGGCGGCUGGGGCGCUCCGCAUACGCGGCGCAUCCUUCGGCCGCUCCUCGGCUGCUUGGACUGGGCAGAGGCAAAGGAGGGUCAAGCAAGGUUUCUCACCCAGCUCUCUCUCUCUGUCUCUCUCGGCAGCUUGGCGGGGGCCGUGCAAAAUGCGGGAAGGCGGCAGAAUGUAGAAAUGUCUCGGAAGAGUUUCCAUUUAUUUGAUGACUUGGAAAAAGAGAACCUAGCAAGGCUAAGCCGAAUCCUCUGUGGAAAUAGCAUCAGAGAACCUGUCAAACGGAUGGAAACGGAUGAAAAACACGGUUUAUGUUGAAGACAAGAGAGCCACCUAACGCUUUUUAGCAUUGCUUAGUAUUCAGCUUCAUCUAGUGGAGGCCAAGCAGGUUUUGUUUAUUUAUUGAUUCUAUUUUUUUUUAAAUAAAAGGCAAAAAAAUAUAUAUUUUUCUGCUUUUCUGCUUACAAAGCCCUCCUAACGGUGAACACAAUCAUUAAAAACAGAAGUUAGAAAAGAGAACCAAUAUUUAAAACAACUGCUUCAAAAGAGAAAGGAAAAGAAAGGAUCCCGUCUGCCAAACAGAAUAAGAAUGAUAAAGAAAUAGCGUGCAUCACAUUCAUCCAGAGAGUCUGCAAAUUGGAAGCAGGUUACGAAGCGAAGGUAAAAACGCCAGAUUACCCCAGUGUGAACGCCAGCCUGCCUGCCUCUGUCUGCAUCCAACCUGCAAGCCUGAUUACAUUACCGAGCACAAUCCAUCUUCAGAGGCGAAUUUAUAGGGACUCAAAUCAUUAUUGAUUGGCUAGAAGCUGGGAGCUGCAGCCGAGAGACCGUAAGCCCAAUCGGACAACGCCGACUUAAUUCCGCAAGCAUUUGCAAUGGCCACUUUGUUUUGUGUAGCUAAAGCUGUUGCCUCUUGCCCAGUUUGGAGCUGUGAGUGAUGGAGACAGUAGCUGGGCCCUGCUAAGUGUUUAAAUGAUGACACCAUUAUGUGCUGUGAUUUUCUCUCCCCCACCAUCCUUUCUUCUUUGAAACGGCGAGAUACCAGGCAAGAAUUACACCUGUUCACUCAUCUCCUCCAAAUCUCCACUCGGCUGGUGAUGGAGAGGAGGUGAGGGGGGGCAGAAUGAUGAUUGAUUUGUUUGUGACAGAUUGCAGGAAACAACCAUUGAUUUUUCAAUAUUUUUGCCUGAAAAUUAUUUACAGUUGUAACCAUGGGGAUGUCUUUCCAUGGGCUGUCGGCUUCUGAAAGACGCCGAGAUAAUAUUCCCUACUCCCUGACAAGACAAAUUACCUGUAAUGACUGCAGUAGCUGAAGGGUAUACUUUUAUUUUAAAAUAUGUCAAUAACUGCAGUGACUAAACGAAUAUUGAUUCAGCAUAAUGAAGCCUGAAUAAUACGAAAAUGGGAUCUUCAAGGGAAGGGGAGAAAGAGAGAUUCCUCCCCCCUUCCUUCCUUCCUUCCUUCCUUCCUUCUUUCCUUCCUUUCUUCUCUCUCCCCCCUCCUUCCCAUUUCUUAGCUUGUAGCAAAGAAGCAUUUUUUUUCUUUAUGGCCGUCGGUUGAAAAUGUGCAACGUUAUAAGUAUUUUCAUGGAUGAACAAUGGGAGACAGUUUGGAUUUUGUUGAGAGCCUCAGUGGACAACGACCUUCUAAAAUAAAGGAACCUUCUGAGUUAAGUCAUCUGAAGAGAAAGUGGGAAAGCAAAGACUUCACACCGGAAAUCUUCAAAGGUUGGAAUUUUGGGGAAAGGGGAAAUAACCGAAGCAUCGAAGCAUCGAUCAGAUGCUCUCAAAUUUAUUCUUAGCAAUCUGUCUCCAAGCGCUUCUGUGGGAAUUGAAUGGUUGACUUUGCAAUUCUGGGCUCUCCAUCCACCACGGAUCUGGGGAAGAACGCAAGGGAAGAGUUUGACCUGGUAGGACCACAGGGUUGCUUCCCAAAAAAUAUCGAUCCAAGCAGGACCAAUUUGUGGUCAGCACUGGGACAAAGCUUAAAACCUAGCAACAUCUGGAGGAAUGGAAUCAAGGAAUCAAGACAUGGGACGGUUGCUUGCUUUUAACAUGAAUGACCCCAGAUGUGUUUCUUGGAAAUAUUCUUACAGCCGGGAUACAGAACGAAGGCGAGCUCUGGUUUUCUAGCUCAGCUGAUGUCCUUGGGAUGCCGGGAACAGCCGGAGCUGGUAAACUUCUAAUCCCAGUAAAAAAUAUAUAUUUUCCCACCUGGCACCUGACAAACUGGACCCUUUGACGGAGAUAUUUCGGGAAUGGAAGCUGCAAGGCAACAAUUGUGAAGAAAUUUUGUUUGGCCGUCUGUGGUUUUUUUAAUUUCACAAGAGCUGUUCAGAUGAGACCUUCCAGUUAAUGAGUUUAGUGGUACAAGGAAUCCUGAAUUCUAUCAGCUUAUCACAAUGAUCUUGUCUGGGGACAGCAAUUUCAGAAGACCACAAUUGGUGAUCUAUGACUUUUGGGACUUUUGUUGUGGUCCGCCAGCAGCCUGUGGACCUGGCAGCGGAAUCAGACAGUGAGGAGGCUGGGGAGGACAAUGGGCCAGUCCUGGAGUCAGAGGAAGGCCCGGAUGAGGGUUCUGCAUUGGAGACAGAGAUGGGCCCAGGGCCAUCUGGAAGUGAUGCAUGGACUCCAGAGCCUCCAGAGGCGGACAGCAGAGAGGCAGAGGAACAGGAGGAGCCUGUUCCUAGUGCAAAGAGCUGCCAGUAGGCAAGAGCAUCUAAAGCAAAAAGGACGACUCGGGAGAAAGGCCAGGAGAUGAUUGGCCACUCCCAAAAGGCUUAAGAGAGCAGCAAUGGCUCUUGGGUUAUUUGUAGGAAAGCAACAUUGCUACAAUUGUUUCUUGUCGGCAUCUCCUGUUUCUGAACUUCAUGGGGUUCUUGCCAAGAAAAGCCUUUGGCAGGGUGCCAAAGAAGACAAAGGUUUGUGAUAAGGCCCGAAGGACUUUUUCUGAAGGACUUUGUUUUUGACGUAAUUUGGACUAAGCUGAGAAUGAAAUCAUUCUCAGCUGUUCUAAUAAAAUAUGUUUGUUUAGGACUCAUUGUGUCUGGUAAUAACUGCUUGGGCAUAGGUCACAACAUCUUCUGCGAACUCAUUCACGAAGAGGACACCUGUCUUAUGAGAAGGGUGAAGAACAAACUGGGCAAGGCCUUGGGAUUGGCAAGCUCUUUCGCUUCCUACUUGCCUACUUCUGGUCCAGGUGAUGUCUCAACCCCAGCAGUUGUGGCCAACAGAAAAGGAACUCACUAAUUGAUUGUUUCUCAACCUUAGUAACUUUCAGUCUGGCUGGCUGUGGAAUUCUGAGAGUUGGUUCAUCUGUCUUAAACGUGCCAAGGUUGAGAAAUCAUGCACUAAUUACUCAGAUGGAGUUCUACCAAGGUGCAAUUGCCAAUGCCAUGUUUUCCUGAAAAUAAGACCCUGUUUUAUAUAUUUUUUUUGAACCCCGAAAUAAACGCUUGGCCUUAUUUUCAGGGAUGU